CUAUGCUACUGUGAUUUUAUUUACUUCAACUGUGGUGUUCCUGUUCUAGUACUGCUAGACCUCAGCUAUUAUUUCUAGUGUUAGAUUAAUAUUCAAGGAUGGUAUCACAGUACAUUACUAAAAUUUUAUACAUAUGAUGAUGAUAUCUAUUACGGUAUUUUAAUGAGAGUGAGUUGUUCAUGUAUAAAAACUUCUUGAUUUCAGGCCCAUUGCACCGAUUUCCUAAACCUGAAUACCCACAUUUGGAAAAGUUUAACUCGUGGAAAAAAGUACUAGAUAAAGCUUUACAAGAAAGGCGACAUCUACAUUUAUAACCAAAUUCGAUUUUGCGACAGACAUUUUGAAGAGUGUUACCGUUCAGCCAGUCACCGACUUACUCCAAAUGCAAUACCAACUCUAGAUUUAUCUACAUUACCAGUUGGUCAAACUCUUGAAGGUCCAUCGGGACAUGUCGAGGCAGACAUGUCGAAUUUAUUAAACAUUUCGCAAGAUAAACUUGCUGUCAUUGAGCCAUCCAGCUCUACCCACUAUCAUAGUGAUGUACAGAAUGCAUUACAGACAGCUGAACGCCCUAAAGGUUCUAGGAAAAGAGGGACUUGUCAAUAUUUAAAACGAGUCGUCACCUCCAAAGAGAAGGAGAUAAUAAAGUUAAAACAGAAAGUAUUGAAGCUGAAAAAGAAAUAUAAGGAACAAAAUAACAAGAAACUCUCUGCAAGGAAAAUUUCCACAUCAAAAUCAUUUUUGAAAGAGUUAAAUAAAAUGCCUGCAACA